UACGGAGGGUGCAAGCGUUAUCCGGAUUCACUGGGUUUAAAGGGUGCGUAGGCGGCUUUGUAAGUCAGGAGUGAAAGUUUGCGGCUCAACCGUAAAAUUGCUUUUGAUACUGCGAGGCUAGAAUUAGGAUGAGGUCAGCGGAAUGUGGCAUGUAGCGGUGAAAUGCAUAGAUAUGCCAUAGAACACCAAUUGCGAAGGCAGCUGGCUAGACCUGGAUUGACGCUGAGGCACGAAAGCGUGGGGAGCGAACAGG
rnacentral:rRNA from 1 species